rnacentral:lncRNA from 1 species
CCAAGGAUAAAGGUGUGGAAAUUUCCCAACCACACUGUUCCACUUCACAUUUUCUUCUUUCUCUUAUUCUAUUUUCACUGCAGGUCAAGCAAAUGUGUAUUAUUCAGCAGCCUCUGGGAACCAAGGAAAAACUAACUAGCGACUACUAUAGCAAGGCUUCUAUCUGUAACCACGAGGACUCUCACAUUCAAACAUUACAACCAGUAAAAGUCUAGACCUAAAAUAUCUACCCUCUUAAUAGUUGUGUCUUUUUAUUAUUAUUUAAACAUGGGCUAUAAGCUUUCUGACAUAAAAGACUGGAUGGUCUACCUUUUGAGAAGUCCAGGGGAAAAAUAUGAAGAUUUAUUUGUAUUUUCUUAUAAUGUGCAUAAAAAUAUUAGAAAGAUACACAAGAAACUACUUAUUAUCUGUAAAAAAAAAAAAAGUAAAUGACUGUCUUCCAAUGAUCAACUGCUGAUUCUGCCCAAUCUCUUUAUUUCUUCAAUAAUAAAUCCAUUGUCAUGCAUUUAAAGACUGAACCAUGCCAAAACUCAGCUGAAAACACUCACUCUCCCUUCCCAAUAGCAUAAGUUGUUUCUCAUUAGUUUCAUUAAUGCCAUGAAAAUUCUAAAACGAUACUAAAUGAGAAUAAUAUUUUAAAUUUUAUCACACUGCCAGCUGAGAAAUCUCAAAGUACAAUGUUAAUAUACUGACAUUUACCACACAGCGAAACAAACACGGUAUUUCAAAACUGAGAAAGUUAAAGCCUCCUAAGAGAAGACUGUGGCCACAGCUUCCUGAGUCCUGUUUAUAUAUCUCCUUUGUUGAAUUAGAUUCCUCUCAGAACUCAUCUCUCACCAGAGUUCAUGUUUGAGUCCACUCUGGUCUGUGUCUUUGUGAGAGCACUUCAGUGGCCAAGCCACAAAACGGCUGAGCUGGUUAAAACACAAAUCAAACCAGGAAUUUCUGCCCUGCAGCUGGCUUGGGAUGUAACAGUUAACUGAGAGCCAAAGGUCUCUGUAGACCCUCAAGACUAAAGGUUAAGAGGCGAGGUCUGAGUAGAACUGUUUAGAAGCUGCAUACCACACAGCUAGAAAUAAAGACUGAGCUAUUUCCUGGAGAAUUUGAAUUAUGUGUACAGCCAAUCAGAAACAAUAAGUGGAUUUGUGUGCAGUGAUAAUAAUUCCUCAUACUUAUAGAUAGAUUAAGAGUUUACACAGCAUUUCCUAUAUAUUUUCUCUCAUGGAGCCUCAAAACAGCUCUGUGCAGCAAAAAAGGCUAUUACUCGAAAUGCUGUUUUAGAGAUAAGAGCUCUAAGCCUUAGGGCAUGAAAUAGUUUGUCCCUUUGAACCAGAUAUGAGUGGCAAUGGUGAGAUGGGACUCACACUUAGGUUUUCUGAGGAUACUUUCCACUCAGGCUGCCUCAGGUCCUCAAAUCCAGUCACUUAGUUAACUUAGUCAACUUCCCAUUUGACAAACGUGAAAGUCCUAUUAAUCUAACCCUGAACUUCUACUAGGCUCUUUGCCUUGUACUGAAACACAAAAGACAAAUUCCCACCAUUAAGUAAGUUGUAACAAUGAUGAAAUUCUGUGUCUCUCCCCAUCCUGCCUGUGUCCUCAUUUCAUCUUUUCUUCAUUUGCUUUGGUAACUCAGGUUGUAUAAGAAAUUAGAGGAAGGUUGAAACUAGGUAUAUGGUGACCAAGAAGGGGAGAGUGGAAUCCAGCCCCUUAUUUCUAGGCUUUUGAGUGGAAGAUCUGACAACAGGAGCAAUUGUGUCCCUGUGUUCCAUGCAGUGUCGUUUUAUUUUCCUGAAAAUAUUUGUCCUUGCUACAAGUGGAUUAGAGGUUAGAAUGCAGGAUUGGCAGGCAGGAUUUGUGGUUUCUAUUUUUAGGCUUGCCAGUUUUAUCUCAUGAGGGUAAGCCCUAAGCAGAGUGGUUUAUUGGAGAAAGAACUUGAUUGGAAGACAGCACCGGCCUUCCUGUGAAUGAGAGAAUCUGAGCGACAUGGCUGAACAUUAGCCAAAAGUAAGGGUACAGAGGACAACGUGAGAUCCCUCAGUCACCAAAUGUGAGGGUGAUCUAAAUGAUGCAUGAUUCACCUCUGGACAGGGGGUUGUAGAAGAACUCUAUCAGGCCUCAACCACAACUUUCUACUGUAGAAACAGAAACCACUCUUUUAUGAGUCCUGCCCAAAGAAGAGGAUAGGACCUUAAUUAUUGCUUUCUCAGUGUGCUUUUUUGUGCACAAACCUAUAGGUUUCCACACAGUGAGUGAGUGUGUGUGUGUGUGUGUGUGUGUGUAAAUAUAUAGCAGGCCAAAAGAACAUGAAAGUUGUUUUGAGAAGUAGGGAUGGGUGUGGUGGUGAUAUGUUUUCAGAUGAUUGCUGGCGUUUCCUUGACUUCAGAUAUCAUAAUCCAGGCUGGACCAAAUAAUUUAGGUAGGGAAGAGGAGGAAAAAAUCUUGCGUACACUUUUUACUCUGAGAAAUCUAUAAUUGCCUUCUAGGUUUCAAGCAACAAAAUGAGCCAAGUACAUUAAAAACACACUAUGUCAGCCCUCUGUUGCUUCCUGACAACACACCCCCAAGACCUCUCCAUGCUGCUGAGAGCACCUAUGGACACCUCUGCUCAGCCCGAAUCCAAAAGCCCCAGGACCUAAUAUUACUUUUGGCAGGAGAGACAAGUAACUUUGACCCUGGAUUCUGAGUCUCAGCAUCUGUGGCUUACUUUUAUAGCACCAACCCACCUUCAUUUGAUAACUACACUUUUGCCUUCUUCUCCAUUAUUAAUCUGAUUACUUGACCUGUUAACUCUGUCCCACUGGAAUGCAUGCAAUGCGCUCAAAUGUAUUUAUGUACCCAGUCAAAAAAUAUAUACACACACAGAUUAUGUGCCAAACAUUGUGCUAAGUCUGAAGAUAGAGUAGCAACGACAAAACAAGAUAAAAAUACAUGGUGUUUGCCUACAUGGGAACAGGAGCAAAAAAUAAAAUGCAAUCACACAAACAGUGGUAAAUGCAGGGAAGGAAAAAGUCAGGAUGCUAUAAGGUCCCUUGAAGCCCUAGUCAAGUGGUAGAGGACUUGUUAUCAGGUGAACACUCCAGAUACCAAAUUCAAAUGUGUCCCUCUCAAAUUCCUAUGGUGAAGUCCUAGCCUCCAUUGUGAUUGUGAUGUAUUUGGAGAUACAGUCAAUUAGUUUCACAUGAGGCCAUGAGGGUAUAGUCUGCAUGAUGGAGAUCUCUGUCUCUCCCUCUCCUGUCGCUUUCUCUCUGAUAUGGUGAAGAGAUGUCUGUCUGCAAUUCAGGAAGUAGGUCCCCACCCAACAAUGAAUCUGCGUUUUGAAGAUGGUUUUACAUCUUCUUGGACUUCUCAGCUUCCAGAGCUGUCAAAACUGUGACUAAUAAAUGCCUGCUGUUCAAGUCACCCAGUCUAUGGUAAUGUGUUGUGGCAGCCUGAGCUGGUUAAGACAACGGGGCCCUCAGAAGGCACUGCUGUAAGGAUCAGGAAAAACUUGCACCCUGGUGUAACCACUAACCUUGUCACCUGUGUCACUCUCUAGAGGUCAUUGAAGAGGUUUGAUUUGCUUAGGUUUGAGAUGAGGCUCAGCCGUGGGGUGAGAAUGUCUUUUAAGCACAUUCAAUCAUUGAUUCUUUUUUGAAAGCUGAAUGUUCCGUGUUUUAUUUCUUGUAUCAGAAAGUUGCUUCUCCAUCAAAACUACUAUAUCUAAAUGCCAUGCGUGCUUUGUAUGUUAUCUGGGACAGCCCCGCAUCUUGCCCCCCUAAGUCAUUCAGUAUGGUGCUUGGACAACAAACAACUAAUGCAGCUAGGAAAGAGUCAGGGCUAAAUGUGGAAGGGGGUGGGUAUAGAAAGGGAGAACACCUAAGAACAGCUGACUGCACUCGUAGCUGUGAGUAUUUUUUACUGAUUUUCCUUUUUUGUACUAAUAAUAUUCUAUUUGACUGAAAUUAGUAUUUAGUGAGUGGUAAUCAUGGGCCUGAUUGGCUAAGAUCUGGAAAUUAAAUAAUAAAUAAUAAUGCCAUGGUCCCAGCUGUCAAAGAGCAUAGGAUUUCUCAGAGGAAAUACAAUGAAGCAUAUAAAUAUGCUCACGAGUAGAAUGCAGAAGCAGCAGCCAACCAGAUAUGGCAAAUGGAGAGUCCUGGCCUAGAAGAAGCCACGUCUCAGUUGAGACUAUUGCCAUGUAGUUAUAAUUUUUUAGUCAGUGGAAUGACAUGAGGUUGAUAAGCCAGAAUUUACUCAAACAUUCUUUAAUUGUGAAAAAUUUGCUUCCUUCUCUCCUUCCUCUCUAUUAUAAAUAAUAACAUUAUUAACCAUAGCUAACAAGUCAUUUGUCACUAUAGUAGGCCUCAUUUUUUUAGCUAUCAAAUAAGUUGGUCCAGGAGGAGAACUCUCCUGUCUCAAAAUGCAAACUUACAUAGAUGAUUUCAUUCUGCAGAUUACAGACAGGCAAAAACUCACAUCUCUGGACCAUUUCUGACAAGUAACCUGACACAAAGAUAUUUCUCCCUUCCCGUAAUCAGCAUAUAUACAAAGAGACCAAAUUCACUGUAGGCUUCAUUUAAUUAAAGCAUCAUCAUGAUUGUAUGUUUUCAUAUGGUUUCGCGCACACACACACAAAUCAUAAUGCAUGCUAAGAUCAAAUAUAAAGGAUUUUGGACUAACUAUAUAUAUUUUUAAAAAUAUGUAUGUCAUUGUUCAUUGAAUGGAAAUGUUUUGGGUAUUAUCUGUAAUUUGGAUUAGCUGUGCUUUUUCUCCACUGAGACAUACAGUAAUUGAAAGUUGAGUACAGACUUUAUGACUAUUUUUGAAUUGAUCAAAUCAUCUUACAGUUGGUUUGUAAAGCUUAAUUAAUGCUUCUUAAAUGCUUUAAGAUCUUAUUAAAAGCACAGAAAGUUUUAUUCUAAAUUUUGAAAUAUCAGACUUCCACAUUAUAUCUAAAAAGAAUGUAAAAUUUCUUUUAUGUCAAAAUCUGCUAAAGUAGGAAAAGAAAGAAUUGUGGAGAUGAUCUUCUCUGAAAUAAAACAUAAAUGAUGACAUUUCCACUCUGCUCCACUAUGCAAUGCAUUGCCUAGGAGAAUCACUCCUGUCUUCAAAGCUCCUGUAAUUUACAUCUUAGAAUUCAUAAUGCCUAGAAUCAUUUUGUGCCAUGCGUACCAAAAGAUGACCUCCAACAUUCAAUCAGAGGAGUUUCCUCUGCAAUUUACUCAAAGCCUGUAAGUGUGAAGGGAAAAAAAAGUAAUGCUGAAACACUCUUCCUGAAUCCUUAUGCACAGUUUCCACUUGCAUAGUCAAUGAAAUAAAAAGAUUCUAAUUUCUUUGUUAAUAUUCUCUUUAAACCAAUGGAAUGCAUCCUCUUCAACAAUAAAUUAGGUUAGCUGGAUUUGAUUAUCAAUUAUGAAAAAGAAACCCUUUAAUUUUUUUAAUUACUUGAAAAACAGAUCAUUCUACCUGGAAUGCCUAAAAAUCAUAAUAAUAAUUCCCUUUAUUCAUUCUAUUCAGGAUAAGAACUUCUGUUGAAAUGUUAGGCAACUAUUUUGUUUUUGUCAUAUUCUUUUUGUAUUCAAGGCAUUCAACAGAAUAACUGUUUAAAGAAAUGACAAGAACAUAAUCUUAUGUGAGAAAAAAAUCUUGGCUCAGGACCAUUUUGCUAUGUAUGUAGUAAAUGCUUUUAAAAAGUUAAUUAAAAACUGAAUUGCUAAAAGGGAUUCAAAAUCAUGAUGGUGAUUCAGGAAAUUAAAUGGGAACAUUCUUUAAGAGAGAAAACAAUUAGGACCCAAAGGAGCACAGUUUCUUGUUUUCUGGAAUACCAUCCCCCACCACCCUCUAUCACCAGGAUCUCCUCUCCAAGGCCCAUCCCAAAUGGCCCCUCUCCUGAUUAAUUUUUUUGGCAAACCUAGAUAGAAUUAGUCAAUCCCUUCUGAGUGCCAGGCCAUGGAUUGAUUGCUAGAGAUACAAAGACUAAUAGGAAACAGUCUCUGUUCUACUAUGAAAUGGGGGAGAAAGCCAUAAAUAGACAAAUUACAGUCCAACAAAGAAAGUGUUGGCUCAGGUAAAAACAAGAACACGUAUUUAUAAUCUUGAUACUUCCACAAUACCUUCUCCAUACUUCCGACACACCAGUUAUUUGUAUUCAGGACAAUCUCCACACUAAACUGAAAGCUCCUUCCUUCAUUCAAAAAUACCCAUUUAGUUUCCAUCAUGUGCUAGGCAUUGAGCUAGGCACAGCAAACAUUAUUGUUUGGGUUCUUAUCCAAACAUAACCCUUGCCAUCAUGAAUGUAGAGCCUAGCACAAGCCCAACAAAUAUAUUGAAAAAGCCUGACAAAUUAUUGUUGAAUAAACAAACAAACUGAAUGAAUUCAUAUUGGCAAACAGGAGAGGCUUUGGAAAGCAGAAUGGAAAAACAUAUGGGUCUGACUUAACUAGGUACCUCCAGAGAAGCUGAAGUUGAUACAAACCUGGGUGCAGGAAACCUACUCUCUUUGUUUUGUCCUUCUCAGUACUGUGCCUAUAACUUAACAGUCACCUGAGAAAACAGCUUUUUAAAACUCUUGGAUCUUGAUAACAAUUCAAGAAAAUCAAAGCAAAGUGAAGGAACUGAUGGAAAUCCUGUGAAAUCAGAUUGUUAUGAUCAUUAUACAACUACAGAUGUGAUAAAUUCAUUUGAGUAAUUAAAAAAAAAGUUUGUAGGAUUUACUAUAAAGAACUUUUUCUGCUCUCAGAGAUUGCAUAUGAAAAAUGGGUACUUAAACAUGAAUUUUAAGAAUCUUGGGAAGAUGUUUCUACCAGUCUUAGUCCUAAUAGAUGAAAACAAGAAACAACUUAAAUAUUCAUCAACAGGACUAUGGACAAAUUGUAGUAACUUUAUACCAAAAUAAAAAGGAAUAAACUUCAGAUACAAUGUAACAACAUGCAUAAACCUCAAAAAAACUUAAGUUGAGUGAAAAAUGCCAGACACAUAAAAGUACAUAUUGACUGAUUACAUCUAUGUGAAGUUCGAGAAAAGGCAAAAAUAAUUUAUAUUGACAGAACAGCAGUCACUGGGAGAGCAGAUGAGAAACUGACUGAUAAAGAACAGAAAGGAACUUUCCGGGAUGAUGGAAAUAAUUUUUAAAAUUCUUCUUAAAAUCUAUUAUUUUUGUAAAUUACACCAUAAUAUCUGUUUAUUAAGAGUGAAAUGUUAAGCAUAGCUCAGAUAUGGCACUAACUCAACUAAUGACAGAGCCUUUUGCCCUCUCAGAUUCUGUUCAGGCACUAGAGGGACUUGGUUUGAUCUACUCAUUUUCUGUGAAUUAGCUCAAGGGCAGCAGUAUGUUUUCUCCUUCAUAAGCAUGCACACAAAAUCUCAGGGAUAUCUACAGGACCUCUGUUGUGAACUCACACCCUCAGAGGUGGUGAGGUUUUCUGCUGACUCAUCCACACCCUCUUACCUGACCUCUCAUAACCCCACAGCGUAUCUAAGGCAGCUGGUGCAGGUUAGGA